AGUGAACGCUGGCGGUAGGCCUAACACAUGCAAGUCGAACGGCAGCACAGUAAGAGCUUGCUCUUACGGGUGGCGAGUGGCGGACGGGUGAGGAAUACAUCGGAAUCUACUUUUUCGUGGGGGAUAACGUAGGGAAACUUACGCUAAUACCGCAUACGACCUACGGGUGAAAGCAGGGGAUCUUCGGACCUUGCGCGAUUGAAUGAGCCGAUGUCGGAUUAGCUAGUUGGCGGGGUAAAGGCCCACCAAGGCGACGAUCCGUAGCUGGUCUGAGAGGAUGAUCAGCAACACUGGAACUGAGAGACGGUGCAGACUCCUACGGGAGGCAGCAGUGGGGAAUAUUGGACAAGGGGCGCAAGGCUGAUCCAGCCAUACCGCGUGGGUGAAGAAGGCCUUCGGGUUGUAAAGCCCUUUUGUUGGGAAAGAAAAGCAGCAGGUUAAUACCCCGCUGUUCUGACGGUACCCAAAGAAUAAGCACCGGCUAACUUCGUG
rnacentral:rRNA from 1 species